CCUAACCUAAUGUCUAAAAUUGUUCUAACGAAACUAAGCACUCUCAAAUAUGGAUUCGCCUUAAGCCAACUCUCGAGAUAACCAUCUACCAUUUUCUAAACCAUGUAUUAUGCAGAGGCAGUCGUGCAAUUAGAAAUCGCUUAGCCAGCAUCUAUCCAGCGUCUCAGGGUUGCCACUUACGAUUGACAAAGAGAUAAGUACGUGAGAACCAGUGGCCAUAUUUGAAAACGGGGCUUAAUAUGUCGAACAGGGUCACCCGUGACGCGUGGUGAAACGUUUUUGACUGUAUUUAGAUCGUCCAUCCUGGAAUGUCGAUAUCUCCAACAUAAGAAAAAAAAAGUCUCGAAACGCACACAGACUAGCUUAAUUAAAGCCGUGUUUCCAUAUAACGCGUGUUUUAAGGUCAGAUCGAAACUGGCGGCGGGAAAACGAGCACCGCGAAAAGGAUGUCACGAGGAUAUGUCAGAGUAGCAAGGUCGUUGUCAUCCGACAUCCCAGGUUGUUCACAUUCAAGGACCUUUCCACCAGCGUUUCAUCGCGCUUAUAGGACGAUGGUAUCGAUUCUAGCACGGGGAGCAAAGAACAUGUGAAACGUGACUACGUUGCGUGAGAUACUGCGAUACUCACUAGAUCCUAGUUACUUUCUCCCUACGCUAGUUACUUUUCAUCGAACACUAAACGGAACUUCUAACAUCUACAUAAUAUACACUCAGUGUAAGAAGUACUCGUACAGCAGCUAAAUUUAACAACCUAAGGAUAACUUUCGAAAAGAAAAAGAAUGCGACGAAACGUCGCUUAACUGUACAAAUAGAAAAAUAGAGAAACGCUAAUGUUAUCAAUGUCGUUUGCUUAAAAGUAAACUUAUGACAUUAAAUCAGCUGUUCCUUUAAAAAGUUGAACGUUUAUCGUGUAUCCAGAUAAUAAAGUUACGAAAUUUAUACGAAAAGUGGAAUUUCGAUCAGUUUGGCAAUCUGAUAUGUGUAAUAACCAGCCUUGAGAUCAUCGAGGACAGGAUUUCUGAAGCACGCAAAAUCGCGUGAGCAAAGAGGCUCCUCCUCGGUGCUCGUUGAAGAGUAACAACCAACCGGCUGGGAUAUUCAACAAAGUGGUUUCGAUGGACGUUUUGUGUCUCGCGCGUGGUAUCGCAUGCGCGCGCAUCUUCGCCCCAUCCUUUUGAACAACUCUCGUUGAAUUAUCGAUCGACGUUAAAAACAACGCUGCAACAGAGAGGAGCCGUGUAGAAUUUUCGCGUAUGCAUCCGUCAUCCUUUGUCGUUCGAUUAAUCAAAAUUUUCGUUGGUUAGCCAGGACUCAUUAACGGGCGACGUUGCUCACCCAUUAAGAUCAGCCUGGAUACAAAUCGAUCUGUCGAGGGAUAACAACGUACACGUGAUUUAAUCGUAGCUGUUUAUCUCCAACAGCCGGUUACUACACAGUGUAGGUUAGGUUACCACGCUCUUGAGUUUAGGUAUUUUUUAUAGAAAUCCUCGUAUUUUCUUGGCUAUUGGUUCUUUGGCCUCGCUUGUACAAUUUAAUUAAUAUUAUUACUUUUGUUGCUAGAAAUUUGAAAUAAAUUUGACAGCGAUAGAUUUCAUGGAAUGCGUAUAGUAAUCGAAAUCUUCGUUUUCGAAUAACUGUUGGUCCUCUGGACCAUCUUACACAAUUGCAACGUCAUUAGUGACUAUGUUGUAUAAUAUACUUAAAACUAGAAUUACAAGUCUUUGAAGAAGAAGAAAAAGAAGAAGAAGAACAAGUCUUGAUACAUACACAUAAGCUCGUCCCUAAUCGAGGCCAGUGAUCGACCCAUUUCACAAUGUAAUUCAGUUUCUAAGGGAAUUAAAAGCCAGGAAGCACAUGUAUUACAAUAUGAACUGACACUUUAACUUACUACUACCAAUGUAACAGUGACACGGUGUAGCAGUCACUGAACUAUUACUAGUUUUCUAGACCUUAAUAACCAAUAACGCUACCUAAUUAGCUAAUCAGUAAAUUGAUUGAAAUGGUAAAGCUGUAGCAAUAUGUAGCUUUAUCCUAACAAAGGCGUGAAAUUAUGCGAUAAUAUAUCUUAUGGGAGUAGAAAUCGAUUGGAGAGAAGACAGGUGAAGGAUGGACCAAUUAUUCAUGACGGAUGUUGUCAUUAAAAAAAAUGGCUCGCAAGAAAACCGGGUACCUUACUCCUGCUGGCCAUAUCGGGAACUUCAGACUCACUCGGCGACGAUCAUUGAAUCCUGAGCAGCGGCACGGCUCAUAAAAAUGCAUCGGAUCUCCUCGAGAAAGUUUCACGAAAGUCAGCGUGGAAAAAGAGCGAGAUUUCAGGAUGAUCGGCUGGCAAAAGUGUGUCACCAGUCGUCGAACGAAAAUAAUUGCCUUAUCAGAGGCCGUGAAGGCGUACGUAGCCUCAUCCACACUUGACAAUUCGCCUUGAUACCAGUGUUCACCUUGAUCCACUGCUCCCUAUAUAUACAUUAUCUUGUCGAGACAAACAACACCUAAGAUUUCUCAUGAUCAUGAUAAAAUCAGUUGAAUAUUAACACCUCAUGUAAAACCUUAAUGUUUGUGCAUAAAAUGGUAUAACGUUAUGCUCCCUCUUAUGCAGCAAUUCAUAAGCAACAGUAUUUAUUUAUAGCAACAGCGUUCCAAAUAAUUAGCAUGUCAGAUGCAGAUCAUAUACUUUUUUGCACGAACAGUUUUCUCAACAUGUUGCAAUAGUUUGUGAUCGAUGCAAGACCUAUUGGGGACAUUUAGUGUCCACAUGUUCCACCGUGUCUAUCGCUUGUGGCUUAUACAGAGGUAAUGUUGGGAUGUACAUCAGCACGUAAGACAUUAUACAAUGAAAAAGCAACAUUUCUUAAUUUUUCCACCUACGGACUUGCCUAUGAAAAAUCUGUAAUUCUUUCAGUAUCUGCGUCAAGCUGUGAUGACAAAAUGACCAGUUCAUAAUCUUCCCUACAUAGAGAAAUUUUAUUAGGACAUUUAAAUAGUGUUUGGUAAAAUACAGGAGCGUUAAGCUUCGUCUCAUCUAACUAUAACUGGUAUAACUGGACGUGUCUCUGUCUGGUUUGCAGCUGGUGAAAAUUGAAGAUAAGUCGAGUCUCGUUAGAGCUUACAGCUUCUACCUACCUCGCAGACAGAGGCUAACUUUCUUUCAACUUUUUUCACCCUACGAUUCACCUAACCCAAACAGCUUUUCUUCUGGCCGAAGAGAAGUUUCUCCUCGACUGAAUAUGGCGAUCAAACAGUUUCUUUUUCCCCGCUUUCCCCUUGUACGAUAAACGUGACCCUGACCUCGACACACCAGUCUAUACCGGCAAGCCAGCGAUUAGUCUGGACAUAAAUUAAUGCUGCACAACCUACCAGAAAUUGUCCGCAAGCGUGACAACCACACUUUUGCUUCCAUCGUGCUUUCCAAUCAUAAAAAUAUGAUCGUUGACGCUGGUAGCUAAAGCAAUUCUAUUAUUACUCGCACUUUUUAUUACGCUGUUUGUUCCUUAGACUCUGCAGUUAAUCGUAGAAUAGAUUUAUAGAUCUGUUACUCUUGCUUUCGUGACUUUUAUUAGCUUUGUUGAGAUUAGUUACUGAAAUCGUUUUAGGGUUAGUCGAGAGUUGUAAAUUUAUUGAGCUCGGAGGGUACAACUAUAGAUUUAUAGGUUCUCAUCUGAUAAAACUUCCUCCUGUGUUUCUUCUCAAUGUUUUAACGAUAUCCCAACGAUUCUCCAUGAUUUAAUCGCUCUUUCAAAUUUCCAAUUAGAGCCAGCAUGAAACUCGUCAAGUCCAUACGUUAGAUUGCCUAUUUAUACAUUAAAUCAUUAUCAGAUAGUUUGUGCCGAAGCGCUUGAAAAAUUCCUCUCAAGAUUCCAGAUCUUUCCAAAGUUAUUUCGAAUACUCUAACCUUUAAAAAUCCUUUAGCCUAUUCUCAAUAACACGGUUUACGAACCAGUACUACCAACAUUCUCUGGAACACUUCCAAGAUGUGAAAAGCAAUCUGUUUCAAGUCCACGUUAAGGCCUAUUUUCAACAGAUCGAUAUAAUAAGAUAAAGAAAGCUUUCGAGGAAUUUUUAUACAACAAAAUUUUCUCAUUUGUGCUUAUAGAAACUACGAACAAUAUUUAAAACGUGAAAAAUUGAAGCAGUCUGCAUAUCUCGACAGAAAUUAGAAGAAUUAUAUUAGAAGAAACUCUAACCUAACCUUAAGAGUUUUCAAACCUAACCUUAAGAAGUUUCUAACCUAACCAUAAGACAAUUCUCGGUAACACAGGUUAGGAACCAAUGCCAGCAAACUUUUCUAUAGCAUUUUCAAUUGUGAUAAGAUUUGAAAAGUAAUCUAAUUAGGUUGUCCGAAAAGUGUAAUUUAAAUAACCAAUACACAUAGACAAAAACUAAAAAAUACUACAUAUUAGAAGAAAUUUCUAAUUUCAGAAAGUGUUGUAUAUUGGAAAGGCGAGUCAGAAGUUCAAGGAGGGAUAUACUUUGGAAUACCAACAGACAGUUGGCCAUAAUGACCGCGAGAAGGAUUGAUUCGGCGGCUGACGCGAUGAAAAAUGUUGGAAAGCGAUGCAACAAUGUUUCUUUGGACCGAAGACGAAGUGGUGUGUUGGAUGGUAGAUGGCUGAACAUAAUUUUUGACCGUCUGCUGCCCGGUUUAAGAAAGUCAUGCCUAUUAGCCGCCAUUAAGGCCACCCUGCGGAAAGUCGGUUCCCCGAGGGAAGGAAAGGCGACGUCGCUCUCCAUUUUUACUUUCCUGCGCGAGCUGGAGGGAGAAAGUAACGUGAAACUGACGAAUGACGCUUGGUUUCCCAGAACUUACUUCUCCAUAAAUACGUACUUGAAAAAAGCCAAUUAACGAUUGCAUUCGUACGUUGUAGAACAUUUUUAUCUCAACAUGUUGCACAGUUCUAUCAAA